UGGGGAAUAUUGGACAAUGGGCGAAAGCCUGAUCCAGCCAUGCCGCGUGAGUGAUGAAGGCCCUAGGGUUGUAAAGAUCUUUUGUGCGGGAAGAUAAUGACGGUACCGCAAGAAUAAGCCCCGGCUAACUUCGUGCCAGCAGCCGCGGUAAUACGAAGGGGGCUAGCGUUGCUCGGAAUCACUGGGCGUAAAGGGUGCGUAGGCGGGUUUCUAAGUCAGAGGUGAGAGCCUGGAGCUCAACUCCAGAACUGCCUUUGAUACUGGAAGUCUUGAGUUCGGGAGAGGUGAGUGGAACUGCGAGUGUAGAGGUGAAAUUCGUAGAUAUUCGCAAGAACACCAGUGGCGAAGGCGGCUCACUGGCCCGAUACUGACGCUGAGGCACGAAAGCGUGGGGAGCAAACA
rnacentral:rRNA from 1 species